GAUGAACGCUGGCGGCGUGCCUAAUACAUGCAAGUCGAGCGAACAGAUAAGGAGCUUGCUCCUUUGACGUUAGCGGCGGACGGGUGAGUAACACGUGGGUAACCUACCUAUAAGACUGGAAUAACUCCGGGAAACCGGGGCUAAUGCCGGAUAACAUUUAGAACCGCAUGGUUCUAAAGUGAAAGAUGGUUUUACUAUCACUUAUAGAUGGACCCGCGCCGUAUUAGCUAGUUGGUAAGGUAACGGCUUACCAAGGCAACGAUACGUAGCCGACCUGAGAGGGUGAUCGGCCACACUGGAACUGAGACACGGUCCAGACUCCUACGGGAGGCAGCAGUAGGGAAUCUUCCGCAAUGGGCGAAAGCCUGACGGAGCAACGCCGCGUGAGUGAUGAAGGUCUUCGGAUCGUAAAACUCUGUUAUUAGGGAAGAACAAAUGUGUAAGUAACUGUGCACGUCUUGACGUUACCUAAUCAGAAAGCCACGGCUAACUACGUG
rnacentral:rRNA from 1 species